GUUGAUGUCUGAGCUUAGAGGUAACUCUCAGCUAAGGCAUGCUCAGUCAUCCGAUAUGUUUUCAAGCAUAGGUGAUCAGGGUCAAACUAUGGAUCCUUUCUUAGAAAGUGAUGUUGCUUUCCAGAAUCAUAGCUCUUUUGGUGCAGUGGUUGAUCAAUCUCCUUAUAUGGAGACAUGGUCUGACGAUUAUAGCAAAGAUACUCUUACUAACCCUAGCAUUCAUAUAAAUUCGAAAGACAUUCACCACUUAUCUCACAGGGAGCAAGACUUCAG
rnacentral:misc_RNA from 1 species